ACACUGGUGGCUCAGUGGUUGAGCAUCUGCCUUUGGCUCAGGACAUGAUCCCAGUGUU
rnacentral:tRNA from 1 species